AUUGAGCGCUGGCGGCAUGCCUUACACAUGCAAGUCGAACGGCAGCACGGGGCAACCUGGUGGCGAGUGGCGAACGGGUGAGUAAUACAUCGGAACGUGCCCAAUCGUGGGGGAUAACGUAGCGAAAGUUACGCUAAUACCGCAUACGAUCUACGGAUGAAAGCGGGGGAUCGCAAGACCUCGCGCGAGUGGAGCGGCCGAUGUCAGAUUAGGUAGUUGGUGGGGUAAAGGCUCACCAAGCCAACGAUCUGUAGCUGGUCUGAGAGGACGACCAGCCACACUGGAACUGAGACACGGUCCAGACUCCUACGGGAGGCAGCAGUGGGGAAUUUUGGACAAUGGGCGCAAGCCUGAUCCAGCCAUUCCGCGUGCAGGAUGAAGGCCUUCGGGUUGUAAACUGCUUUUGUACGGUAACGAAACGGCGAGCUCUAAUACAGUUUGCUAAUGACGGUACCGUAAGAAUAAGCACCGGCUAACUACGUGCCAGCAGCCGG
rnacentral:rRNA from 1 species